GACGAACGCUGGCGGCGUGCUUAACACAUGCAAGUCGAACGGAAAGGCCCUGCUUUUGUGGGGUGCUCGAGUGGCGAACGGGUGAGUAACACGUGAGUAACCUGCCCUUGACUUUGGGAUAACUUCAGGAAACUGGGGCUAAUACCGGAUAGGAGCUCCUGCUGCAUGGUGGGGGUUGGAAAGUUUCGGCGGUUGGGGAUGGACUCGCGGCUUAUCAGCUUGUUGGUGGGGUAGUGGCUUACCAAGGCUUUGACGGGUAGCCGGCCUGGGAGGGUGACCGGCCAAAUUGGGACUGAGAUACGGCCCAGACUACUACGGGAGGCAGCAGUGGGGAAUAGUGCACAAUGGGCGGAAGCCUGAUGCAGCAACGCCGCGUGCGGGAUGACGGCCUUCGGGUUGUAAACCGCUUUCGCCUGUGACGAAGCGUGAGUGACGGUAAUGGGUAAAGAAGCACCGGCUAACUACGUG
rnacentral:rRNA from 1 species